UACAGAGGUAGCGAACGUUGUCCGGAUUUACUGGGCGUAAAGGGCUUGUAGGUGGCCAAAUAAGUCAGUUGUGAAAUCGUUCUGCUCAACAGAACAAUUGCUUCUGAUACUGCUUGGCUUGAGUGCAGGAAGGGAAAAUGGAAUUUCCGGUGUAGCGGUGAAAUGCGUAGAUAUCGGAAAGAACACCUGUGGCGAAGGCGGUUUUCUGGCCUGCAACUGACACUGAGGAGCGAAAGCUAGGGGAGCAAACAGGAUUAGAUACC
rnacentral:rRNA from 1 species